rnacentral:snRNA from 1 species
AAUCAGAAAGAACGUAGCG